rnacentral:rRNA from 1 species
AACGAACGCUGGCGGCAUGCCUAACACAUGCAAGUCGAACGGGACCUUCGGGUCUAGUGGCGCUCGGGUGCGUAACGCGUGGGAACCUGCCCUUAGGUUCGGAACAACUCCCCGAAAGGGGUGCUAAUACCGGAUAAUGUCUUCGGACCAAAGAUUUCUCGCCUUUGGAUGGGGCCGCGUUGGAUUCGCUGGUUGGUAGGGUAAAAGCCUACCAAGGCGACGAUCCAUAGCUGGUCGGAGAGGAUGACCAGUCACACUGGGACUGAGACACGGCCCAGACUCCUACGCGAGGCAGCAGUGGGGAAUAUUGGACAAGGGGCGAAAGCCUGAUCCAGCAAUGCCGCGUGAGUGAUGAAGGCCUUAGGGUUGUAAAGCUCUUUUACACGGGAUGAUAAUGACAGUACCGGGAGAAUAAGCUCCGGCUAACUCCGUG